rnacentral:rRNA from 1 species
UACAGAGGUCUCGAGCGUUGUUCGGAUUCAUUGGGCGUAAAGGGUGCGUAGGCGGUUUUGUAAGUCAGUGGUGAAAUACUCCAGCUUAACUGGAGGGGUGCCAAUGAUACUGCAGAACUUGAGUACAGAUGAGGUAGGCGGAAUUGACGGUGUAGCGGUGAAAUGCAUAGAUAUCGUCAAAGAACACCGAUAGCGAGGCAGCUUACUGGGCUGUAACUGACGCUGAGGCAACGAAAGUGUGGGGAUCAAACAGG